UACGUAGGGUGCGAGCGUUGUCCGGAAUUAUUGGGCGUAAAGCGCACGUAGGCGGUUCGUUUAAGUCGGAUGUGAAAGCCCUCGGCUCAACUGAGGAAGUGCACCCGAAACUGGCGAGCUUGAGUACGAAAGAGGAUCGCGGAAUUCCCGGUGUAGAGGUGAAAUUCGUAGAUAUCGGGAGGAACACCGGUGGCGAAGGCGGCGAAUCUGGGUCGAUACUGACGCUGAGGUGCGAAAGCGUGGGGAGCAAACAGGG
rnacentral:rRNA from 1 species